GAAUAAAAAAUAUAUAGACAAAAUAAUUGGAAAAAAAAUACGAUAAAGUGAAAUAUCAAUUUAUUUUCAGGAUUAUACUCGUUGGCAAGAAAAAGUAUGUCUUAGAGCCUUAAUGCGACACUAAAGCGCCCGCAAAGCAAGGUGAAGCGCUCAACAUGUUUUGAGCCUCGCUUUAGGGCUUAUGCGCGCCUUUAACAACACUGCUUUAGUAGCAAGAGUGUUGGGAUUUAAGAUCCUUGCACUUUAGUUGCAAGAACAGAAAACAUAUUCUAGGAAAUUCCUAAUCCAGAGAAGCUAACAUAGAGAUGGGAUUUAGAGUAUGUUUUCAUUCGAUAUUUAAUAAGUAUUUUAAUUGUUCAAGUGGACCUUCUUUGUUAAAUCUGUUGACGAGAUUUUAAAAAAGAUUAUGGGAUAGUAAAUCAUCAUUGUUUAGGGUACGCAUCCAUUUGUCUUCUUUUCCUUAUGAUCUGCCUUUGUAAAUUGCUUUAUUCUCUUCUCUUUUUCCUUUUUCUGUUUCUUCGUUAGCCCAAGAAUUAAUGCUAAGAUUCCAAUGAUAACCUAAAAGGUGAAGAUUAUUGGAAUAACAUUGUGCCCAGCAAUUUCAAAAAAAUUAAUUUUAUUGUUUAUUAAUGGAUCCAGCUUAUUUAAACUCACCGUUCAUCAAAUAUUUUGAAAGCUUUUGUUCCUCCUAUUUUCCUAUUUAUCUUACUAUAGAUUCGAAGACUCAAUUAUUGCUCUUCCAACCUUUUCUGUUCCUUAUUUGGUUUUUAAAGUAUUGUUCUUUAACUACUAUCAGACAUUUGAUAAUAUUGAGUUUCUAUGUAUGAUGAGCAGAUCCUUGAGCACAAAAUUUCUUUGCUUGAAGAAAAAUUGCGGAGCUAUAGAAAGAGAUAAAAGAAUGUCAGAUUAGUUGUGAACAUUUGACACAAUGAGAUUUUGAUGCCCAGAUUUUCAGUAAUGCAUAUAGAAGAGCCAUGUACCUAGAGCAGUGGUGAGCACAGUUCCGAGGAUAUCAGUGGCUGUUACACUCGGUGGCUGUUGAACUCAUUCGUACAAAAAGAGAGCAGCCAUCCAGUUUAUAUACUAAUGAGGUACUACAGACUGCAUGGAGUUGCAGCAUAAUAACCAACUCUGAUAAAAAGAUCAUGCUAGCAACAAGUCGAGAUUCGAAGGAACUAAAGUUUUUUUUCCCGUGGGAAGCAGUGUUUCACAGUGUUGCUAGGACCCCAUGGAUAAGAUGUCAUAUUUUCCUCAUCUUUUUGUCCAUUUUCCCUGUUUUCCUAUUUAUCUUAUUGUAAGAUUAAAGGUCUCAAUUGUUGUUAUUCCAAUCUUCUCUGUCAUGUAUAGUGAAAAGUUUGUUAGUUUACCCGAAUCUUUCAUAUUCCUUAUUGGUUGUUCAAGUACUGAUCUUUUAAUAAAUAAUUAUGCUAUUCUUUU